UCCGGUGAUAAUGGCUGGAGGGUUCCACCUGUUCCCAUCCCGAACACAGAAGUUAAGCCUCUACGCGCCGAAGGUACUUGGCUGGUAACGGCCCGGGAGACUAGGUCAUCGCCGGAU
rnacentral:rRNA from 1 species